rnacentral:lncRNA from 1 species
UGUACAUCAAGAGGCCCCAAGAACAGAAACCUAGAGCCCAGUAUGUAGCUCUUCUGUGGUGCCCAGUAUAGGAAGAGGGUCCAACCUGGAGACUGACUUCUCCCAGGAAGCACAGAGGCCUCCUUGCCACCUAGAGAGCACAUUAGAGGCAAGGAGGUGCAGACCUGUAGUAGAUCUAUCAGCUAGGAAGCUGUGUGGACGUUGGUUUUAUUUGGGUUGGAUUGGGUUGACUGGCCUAUUACCUUAGUGUGGAGUCACUCCUAAUGAUGCUUAGCGCGUUAUAUUGAGCAGCUCCACCCCAUGCAAAGCAAAGAUCCUGCACCAAACUACCAGUAAGACCUCCUGGACAAACAGCCAUGUUUCCUUCUGUAUUCUCUUCCAACAGUCACCUCGACGUUGACCCAAAAGACACAGCCCAGUGAUUCUGGACCUCCUGGUCUGCUUUCAGGCUGCUGAAGGCCAGGACACUCAGAACCAUGUGACCAGACUUUUAUGUGCUCAAGACUGUUAAUCUCCUUAAUUGAAAUUGAUUGGCCUCCUGGGACCCAGCUCUGCACUGGCCCUGAGCUUCAGCAGGAGCCAAACCUGAAAAGGCACACAGUUACAAAACAGCUUGGGAGCAACAAAAGCACCUGAUAAAGUAACCGUCAGUCUCAGAGGAACAAACCUACUUUGGGAGACUAAUGUGUGAUAUUGCAGCUCAGACCAGAGCUCAGACCUCGUCCUUGAAGUUUUGAAAUGACCUGCUUUUUCAUAUGUGGAUGAGAGCAAAGCAAAGCGAGCAAUCUUUCUGGUCCUAUCUGUACCAAAGUGCAUGGGGUAGAUGGUAAUAGAGAUUAAGCUUGCAUCUUUACAUGCGUUAGGAAAGCGCUCUACCACCAGGCUUCAGCCCAGGUCAAAAACUUCAGAUACCAUGAACACGUUCUUAGAAUGUUGCAUGCUAUGUAGGUGCAUUUUUCAUCUUUAGUUGCUAUAAUGAAAUAGUUAAAGCUGGACACUUACAGAGAUAAGUUUAUCUAACUCACAGUUUUGGAAUCUAAAGGUCCAAGAUCACCCAGCCCCAUCUGCUUAGCUCUGGUGAGAGCCCUCUGGUUACAUCACAACGUGGCAUCACAAUGGGAGCUCAUAUAAGAGGAGGGAAUCAAGUGGUAGGCAGGAUGCCAAAGAGAUUUCAAAACCCUGCUUGUUCGUUUUAGAACAAUUCACUCUGGCAAGAACCCAUCCCAGAAACCAAUAUUUAUCCCUUCCAAGAGCAAUAUGGCCCUGUGAUGCCCUGCUCCCAGGCCUUCAUCUCUGAAGUG